rnacentral:rRNA from 1 species
GCGGCCUAUCAGCUUGUUGGUGAGGUAAUGGCUCACCAAGGCAACGACGGGUAGCCGGCCUGAGAGGGCGACCGGCCACACUGGGACUGAGACACAGCCCAGACUCCUACGGGAGGCAGCAGUGGGGAAUAUUGGGCAAUGGAGGAAACUCUGACCCAGCGACGCCGCGUGCGGGAUGAAGGCCUUCGGAUUGUAAACCGCUUUCAGUAGGGAAGAAGCGAAAGUGACGGUACCUACAAAAGAAGCACCGGCUAACUAUGUGCCAGCAGCCGCGGUAAUACAUAGGGUGCAAGCGUUGUCCGGAAUUAUUGGGCGUAAAGAGCUCGUAGGUCGUUUGUUACGUCGGAUGUGAAAACCUGAGGCUCAACCUCAGGCCUGCAUUCGAUACGGGCAAACUAGAGUUUGGUAGGGGAGACUGGAAUUCCU